GGCGAACGCUGGCGGCGUGCUUAACACAUGCAAGUCGAACGGUAAGGCCCUUCGGGGUACACGAGUGGCGAACGGGUGAGUAACACGUGGGUGAUCUGCCCUGCACUUCGGGAUAAGCCUGGGAAACUGGGUCUAAUACCGGAUAGGACCACUGCCUGCAUGGGGGGUGGUGGAAAGCUUUUGCGGUGUGGGAUGGGCCCGCGGACUAUCAGCUUGUGGGUGGGGUGAUGGCCUACCAAGGCGACGACGGGUAGCCGGCCUGAGAGGGUGACCGGCCACGCUGGGACUGAGAUACGGCCCAGACUCCUACGGGAGGCAGCAGUGGGGAAUAUUGCACAAUGGGCGCAAGCCUGAUGCAGCGACGCCGCGUGAGGGAUGACGGCCUUCGGGUUGUAAACCUCUUUCAGCACCGACGAAGCGCAAGUGACGGUAGGUGCAGAAGAAGGACCGGCCAACUACGUGCCAGCCGCCGCAGUAA
rnacentral:rRNA from 1 species